GUGAGUAUGUAGCUUAAUUAUUUAUGGUGUUUUUAACUUAGCAACUUAGCCGGUCAGUUUGUGACAAGCUGGCUGAACCUGACUGACCUGCUGAGAGAACCAAACUUCUCUUAAAAAGUUCUUUAAAGUUACAGUUUAGUAAAGUUUGAACUUUUUUUUUCUCCUAAUAAGUUCAAACAUUAUCAAAAAGAUACAUCGACUGUGUGUUGGUAUGUAGAACUGCACAAUGCCUAACGUUGCCAACAACCCACUGGAUGAUGGAGUUCUGAGUCAGGGCUUGCUGAACUGCAGGGCUCAGAACUGUAAUAAUGUGGGAGAUUGCGUGAUUCAGGACGGAUUGCAGGUUUGUAAAUGUUUGCUGGGCUACAGAGGACACUCAUGCCAAGAAACGGUCAAUGACGGAUUAGCCGCCCCACUCACUCUGGGAGUCUUGGGCUUCAUCAUUGGCUUCAUUGUCCUGGCAUUUGUUCUAGCAUUUGUCCAGCAAAGGAGGAGAGAACGUUUAUGGGAACAAACCAACGAGAAAAGGGAGGAAUUGAAAAAGAACGGUGAUUUUUCUCACACAAAAAUAGGGUCAUGGGGAACCUGGAGUCUAUCCCAGGGCGCAUCAGACACAAGGCAGGGGACACCCUGGACGGGGUGCCAAUCCAUCGCAGGGCACAAUCACAUACACACUCACACCCAUUCAUGCACUAUGGACACUUUGGACACGCCAACCAGCCGGCCGUGCAAGUCUUUGGAAGUGGGGGAUGAAACCAGAGUAACGGGAAGAAACUCCUGCAACACAAUUUAAAAAUAUUUUUCAAAUAAUAAUUAAUAUUUAAAAACAAUUACAAACUGAAGCACAGGGAGAAUAUGCAAUAUCCUUAUACACAGGGCCACGUUGGGAAUCGAACCCCCAACCCUGGUGGUGUGAGGCGAACGUAUUAACUGCUAAGCCACCUUUAUAAGAUAUCAU
ensembl:lncRNA